CUUACAGUUAAAUAGCAUUUUUCUGGAAAAUACUGAAUGUCGAUCAAAUGCAGAAAUGGUCUUGAUGACUGUUUGAGAAAAGUUGCUGAGAAAAUCUUGACAGCAAAACUCUCAAUGCUUAAUAACUUUACAAGAAGAAAAGAGUAAAUUAGAGUUUGGUUGUCUAGUUGGGGUGAAAAAUGUGAUAUAUGUUUACCAUGUUUUGUCAACUCGUUUUUCAGGAGGUAAUGGCAGUAGUUCAAUGUUGUAGUUUAUUAAAGAAAUCCACUAGCUGCUUUGGCCUCAGGGAAUAGGUGCCACAAAAUAGGCAAAAUAAGAAAUGCAAUCAUAUUUAAUAAUAAACACUGACCUAUCUAUCCAUAAUUAUGGUUAUUGAAAAGUGGAGGGUUCGAGCUCAAGCUAAGAAGAAGAACUACAAACGCCACAAACGAUGAUGCAUUAAUCACUUCCUACACCACUACAUCUAUAU
rnacentral:lncRNA from 1 species